CUCUCGCCGUCCUUCCUUCCCUAUAAAAUUCAAAAGCCCUAAUCUCCCCCGACGACCCAAAAGACGGAAACAGCUGUUUCCUCCUCUGCGCCAAUCACAACUCACCAGGUUCCGACUUAACAUCUUUCUUUUGAACCACCCUUAAAAGCAAUGUCUCGCGUGACGUGGGUAACCUUGACCCACGGGUUUCGGAUCGGGAUAUUGAAGACGAGUUUCGUGUCUUUGGGGUUAUUCGAAGUGUAUGGGUCGCUGGAAGGCCACCGGGUUAUGCUUUCAUUGAAUUUGAUGAUCACAGGGACGCUGAAGUUGCAAUUCAUGAAAUAGACGCUUUAAAGUCAAUGUGUUUGGAAUUUGGAUCACGUAAGAACGGCUGGAGAGUUGAGCUUUCUCAUAAUUCUAGAGGAAGAGGUGGAUGUGGUCCGGGACGCUCUGGUGGUUCUGAUUUGAAGUGCUAUGAGUGUGGUGAGCCUGGUCAUUUUGCUCGAGAAUGUCGCACGCGUGGUGGUUUAAGAAGACGUCGUAGCCGCAGCCCUAGAUAUCGUAGGAUCCCAAGCUACGGACGCAGAAGUUACAGUCCUCGUGGCUGAUCUUCAAAACGUCUCGGUCCCUCUCCUCGUGGACGUGGCUACAGCAAGUCUCCACCAUAUCGUGGUCAUGAGGAAUUGCCAUAUGCUAAUGGAAAUGGUACAACAGAACGCUGAAGGAGUAGAAGCAAAGUAGCACAAGGAUGUAACUUUUGUUGAAGAGACUGGGCUUAAGUGUGUUUAGUUUCUUUGGACUUCAAAGCUACUAUUUUUAAUUGGGUGACGCCCUCAGCCUCUUGGAUUUGGAUAAGUUCCUUUCUGUUAUUCUUUUGUUUUAUGAUGCUUUUGUCUGCUUUAUCUGUGCUAAAACUUAGUCUAUUUUAUGCCAAGGAAAAAGAAGCUUAAGAUUUAAAAAGUUAUUGAGAGAUCAUUCCUGGAAGUCUUCUAAAAUAUUCAUACUUUUCUUUUUUGUUGAGGUGUCUUCUGGGUCUGCCUCAUUACUUUUCUGCUUCUACACCUAAAGGAUUUACUUCUUUGCUGCCCGGCUAUGGGAUCUUCAACGCUUGAUCAUUGUGUGCCCCAUUUGGUAUCUUAUGGGUCUGCCUCAUUACUUUUCUGCUUCCGCACCUAAGGGAUUUACUUCUUUGUUGCCUGGAUAUGGGAUCUUCAAUACUUGAUCUUUGUUGCCUCUGUUUGAAUGAAUAUCCUGCUGGAUGAAGCUUCCUCCAUCACUAGUGGCAUUUCUUUGCUUUAGCUUAAAUGGGUGCAGAGCUGCGUCAAAUGUUUCUGGCAGCUUGACAAGCAAGAAUGAAUUUGAAAUCUUCUACUUCUGUUUGGUCGGAAAGUUUGGUUGCUGAACUUGGUUUUGUUUUCCACUUUUCUAGUA